ensembl:snoRNA
UGGUCAUUACCAAGGCUUUUAGAAUGCAGUUUCUUAUUUGCUGUGGACAUGACCAUAAAAAAAAUUUCCCACUAGGUUUUCUUUCUGCUACUUUGUUAGCGUUCAGCCUACUGGGAACAUUU